AUUCCAGCUUUUUCUGCCAACGUGGGCUGCACCAAGAAGCUGAGACGGGUAUUAAAAGGGUGAGGACAAUUUGUUUUGAAUCCCCUUUCAGCCUUUUGCGUCCUCCGCUUCCUAAGUUUACAGGAUCCAGGAGGCCCCAAACAAGGAAGCCCGCUGUUGAGAGUAGCCUCGGGUUUUGUGCGCGGACUAGGUCGCCCUAUUUAUCGAUUAAUACCGGCCUGAAGAAAGUCUCGUCCACUGGGACUGACUGCAAUUCCCAGCGGACCCACAAGACACCCUCCCCCUCCCCCGCCCCCGCUGGGGCCUGCAGACAGUCUCGGCUGGAAGGCCAAAGCUUUCUCGGACUACGUUAACCAAAAGGCAAAGCGCGGACAUACUUCCGCUCCCUUUUCAAUAAAUGCGGGUGCAUUCGGAACAGUC